rnacentral:lncRNA from 10 species
GGCAAAUACAAUAUGAGUCUUAAAUAUCUUGUGGUGCCAGAAGGAGUGGAUGUUAUGACAGAGGAAUGUAGGAAGGAAGGACAUCAGGCUCUGAACAUCCAUCCAUGUAAAACAUUGAAUAAGACUAGCUGUUAAACAGGGCUUUUUCCCUAGAAAGGUGUCAUAAUUUUGACUCCAUCAAAUUCUUCUAACAGCAAGUACUCAUUUGGGCCCAUUUUACAGAAGAAGGAAAACUCUUGAGGUGGUUAAGUGAAUAUAGAAAUUUU